GCUAGAUGGGGGAUGGGUAUUAGAGAGGGUAAUUGUUGUGAUGAGUACUCGGUGUGGUAUGUAAGUGAUGAAUCACUGAAUUAUGCUCCAGACACCAAUAUUGCACUGUAUGGUAACUAACAAAAUUUUUCAAAACUAAAAUAAGGUUACCAGAGUCACCAAUAGAGGAACUAAACAUCAAAAGAAGGUAUAGAAGCCAAGAGAAAGAAAGUGAGGGCAGAUUGAAGACACAUGAGUGAGUUAAAUUCUCCUCUGUAAGCAGAAUGUGGUCAACUGAUGAUGUUUGAAGUUGAUGAAUUAUUGAAAUAGCAGAUUAAGCACUUUAUCUAGAGGUAAGAGGGUAACUGCCAGAACAGUGCAAACAGGAAUUAUUAAAAUGCUCUACCCUGGGAAGCACAAUAAGGGGUUGAGAAGUGAUGGGGUCUUGAGCCUUUGCUUUUUGUCAUAAGCUCCUUUGCACUUUCUGGUCAUCACUAUUUUAUUUACCAUGUGCAUGACUUCCUUUCAGUGAGAACAAUGCUUUUCUGUUUCUUUUUCUUUUUUAAAGAACGGUUUUUUAUUUAUUUAUUUAUUUAUUUAUUUAUUUAUUUUUUAAGAUUUUUUAUUUAUUUAUUUGAGACAGAGAGAAUGAGAGACAGAGAGCAUGAGAGGGAGGAGGGUCAGAGGGAGAAGCAGACUCCCUGCCGAGCAGGGAGCCCGAUGCGGGACUCGAUCCCGGGACUCCAGGAUCAUGACCUGAGCCGAAGGCAGUCGCUUAACCAACUGAGCCACCCAGGCGCCCCAAGAACGGUUUUUUAAAAGACGGUGUGUAUGUUCGGUAGGAGGUCCUAUGGUUAACCGCUGUGACUUUAGCAAGACUUUACCAUAUGGAAGGAGAUUUCAUUGUACAUUUAUUAUAUAGAGUGGGAACUUAAGUUGCUCAACAACUCAUAGUAUUGAGAAUCAGCCAUUCACACAUCCAUAGCCCAUGAAUGUGUCAAAGCACCAUUGUGAAUGUUCCAGAGAUAUCAUGGAGACAUCAGAACGCAUUCAGUAUCCUACAGCAAAGAAGUCGAAGGAGUGUAUCACCUAACAGUAAUUUAUGUCCAAAUUGUCCCCAAAAAGGGUGCUUGAAGGGAUGAAUAGCAGUUGAGGGAAAAUUCACUCGUGACUCAAUAUCCCCAUUUCAUUGAGAUUGUAUUAUCAAAUCUUCUGGGUGGUUUUCUUGAGUACGGAGAAUGGCAUGCUUUCCUGUGUUGACUUGUAAAGUCCUCGGACCUCAGGGAAAAUAAAUAAAUGGAUUAUAAAAAGGUCCUAAGGUUGGGAGAACUAAGGAAAACCUGAAUGAGGGUGCAAGAAAAGUGAGUUCAGGCUGGGGAAUCAGGCAGUUGCCUGGAGUAAGAUCCAGUCAUAGCCUGGGAUGUGACUCAGAGGAUCAGACUCCCUCUGAACUGACACUUUGCUCCUGGUUAGAGAGGAAAAGCCAGGCUUCCUUGGACACCAGAAAGGAAAGACACCGAGUCUUCAAAAACCAGCUGAACAAGGAUAUCCUCAAGACAGAGGGAAAUGGCAUUAAUAAGGAGUCUCUUGUGUUGGGCAUUGAAUGCAUGCCAGGCACUGUGACAAACAUUUCCCAUAUAUUACCACUUUUCAUCCUUAACAACUAUCCCCUUGUACAGAUGAAGACUCCAAAGCUAAAGAAACAAAGAAAAAAGGUAAAGCAACUCGGACAAGGUAAGCACAGCUAGUAAGUCAUGGCCUGGGGCAUAUCUAUAGGUAUAUUUUUAUAAGAUCAUGUCUGUAAACUGCCUAAGAUUAUGACAACGAAGGGCAUUAGUUAGAAUCGUAAGCAUACGUUGGAAGGAGAAUUGGUCCCCAGGGACAAACAUGCCUGAAACGCUCUAUAAAAAUCAUCAGUCGAGAUAGCCCUUUGUUCUUGGUUCCUAAGCAGGGUUGGGGCAAAAACUACUUGUUAUAAAGGAAAUCCCUAAGAACCUUAGUUAGGGCUUCUGAAACUCAAACUCAGAGCACGUACUGAGGCUCAGAGUGGUUACGUGUUUUGCUCUGGGAUUCUGACAUUCCAAGUCCACUUGACUCCAAGACCCAUCUUCUUUGAGGAAUUUUGGCUCAGGAAUUUAGGAAUAUACAGUGACUGCUAGCAGUAUAGGCUUCUUCAUUGCUCAUGACCAUCCUGAGCCCAAAUAUCACCAAUUAUGUUCCCUUUUGCAGACCCAGUCUGCUUCUGAGAGAUCAACAAGGAAAGGGUCAAAGAAAUGCUCACCCUCAGGGAAGGAGUGAGGGGAAAGAGGCAGAGAGGAAAAGAAACAAGAGGGAGAAACCGAGGACUGGCUUGUCUCUUGCCUUUAAUCACACCCCAAAGUGACCUAGGAUCGAGAAAGACAGAUUCAGGUAGGCAGAAGCCCUCAGGAAGAAUCAAGCUUGGAUCCUGGAGUGGUCAAGAGUAUUCUAAGAAGGCCCACAGUGACCAGGAUAUAGAAAGGAAGAAGGAAGUGGGCCACAUGAAAUGGAAGACCAGUGCUGGCUCCAAACAUUCUCGAAAUGUCUCCGGAUCUGAACCUAUCUCCUUUUAAAGCUCCACUGAGAAAUAAACAGAAAGAGAAGCUAAACUCUAGCACACAAAGUCUCUUGCUGUCCUGUUUUAAACCAACUCCCAUGCACGUGCUGCCAGGAGUACUGAAAGCAGGACCUGAGUGAGGACACUGAGGCUGGACCAUGCAAGUCAGGUUUGGGGCCAGCCCUUUUUUUUAACACCCAGUCCCUCUCAAUCUCUUCUGCUGGCUUCUCAUCCUCAACUUAACUUCUAAAUGCGGGCGUGUUUCAGGGAAUAGCCCUGCACCUUCUUCCCCUGACUAUCCUCUCUCUCUAGGGGGUCCCGCCCAGUCUCCUGGCUUUGAAUACCAUAUCUGUGCCCUGUUCCCUCAAUAAUUCAGUCUUGCCAGCCUAUAUGGAUGACAAAUAGACUUCAGACACUUAACAUGUGCAAAUAAGAGCUCUUGACACCCCCCCAACUGUUUUUUUCUCCCUUCUCCAAACCUACCACACCCACUCCCCAUUUUGCCUAUGACCAUACACAACACCUCCAUGAUCAAGACUUGAAAGAAAAUAUUCUUAUAGUAAUCAUUCAUUUCUUAAGUUUGUUUACCAACUGCCUUCAAUGCAUCAGCAAGUGAUGUCUCUUCUCUUUCCAGAAUGUCAUGUGACCCCAUGCACUAUUCUCCAAAUUCAUGCUGCCAGUCUUGGCCAAGUCACUGCCAUCUCUCAGCUGGACUACUACAAGAGGGUCCGAAUUGGUCUCCUCACUUUCCUUUGUGCUCUGCCCACUUGCAAUAUUUUCCACAGAGAGCAGCCAGUGAGAAAUUAUUGAAUAUAAUUAGGUCAUGGCACUCCCUUGAUUCAAUCCUCUCUCUGGUUCCCCAGAACACUUUUUUUUUUAAAUAAAGAUUUUAUUUAUUUAUUUGACAGAGAGAGACACAGAAAGAGAGGGAAUACAAGCAAGGGGAGUGGGAGAGGGAGAAGCAGGCUUCCCGCCGAGCAGGGAGCCUGAUGCGGGGCUCGAUCCUAGGAUGUGGAAUCAUGACCUGAGCCGAAGGCAGACACCCAACGACUGAGCCACCCAGGCGCCCCUCCCCAGAACACUUUUGAGUAAAAACAAAACUCUUCAUCAUGGCUCCUUCCCACCACUGCACCCUCUUCGUGUCCCUCCGCCCCACCUCUCACUGGGCUUCAGCCACACUGACAUCCUUUCUGCCCCUCUGGCACCCCAGUUUUCUGUCACAGGCCAGGGGGGACUGUAGUUCUCCCUGCUGGGCAGGUUCUUCGCCUGGCUCCUGGCAGGACUGACCACUUAUCAUUGUCCUCAGGAAGGCCAUUCCUGACCUUUGCCACUUUUUUGGGGGGGGGGCGGGGGGGUUCUAGAUAAUGCGUACCAAACCAUCUUGUUUAUUUCCAUGAGGGCAUUCGUAGCAACCUUUACAUGCUUUCAUCUUUUCUGAUGUGUUUAUUGUCUGUCUUCCCUACUAGAAAAUAAGCUCCCUGAUUACAGGGACCUUCUGCCUAGAAGAAUGCCUGGUACAGCAUAGGCCCUCCCCAAAUUCUUGUCAAGUCAUUGGAUGAAUGAGAUGAAUAACACUUCCUCCCACAAGAAAGAGACCUCUCCCUCCCUCCACUGAUGCUCCACAGGGCUCAUCAUUUUUGCCUCUGUCACAGUGCCUAGUAGUCAGAAUAUUUUUGAUUGUAGAUGGCAGGGACUGGCCAGGAAUGGACUAAAACAAGGAGGGGCCCCCUGGAGGCCUCUGUGGGAAAGGACUUGGAGAGCAUUCCCUAGCUGCUCUCCUUGUCACUUAGUGACGAGUCACUUAGUAGCCCUGUUCCUGUUGCUGGAGGUUCAGGGGCCUAGGGAUUGUCUUCAGGUUUGACAGGUUUGGGAAUUUGCUGGCCAUAGCAUGACAUCCUUGAGCCUCUUUCUCCUGCUGUUUCACUGAUUUCUGUUGGCUCUGUGGGCUGGAAGUCAAAGUCAGAGAAAGAGAUGUUGUUGAGCCCUGGUCCUUGAAUCGGUCCUGCUUGGCAUUUCUGUCUCCAACAACGGGCCAAGAAGUUCUUCUCAUCAACUGCACAUCCGCUACCCCCCAGGAAUCAUGGCUUCCCCCUGGCCUCUUCCUCCUCGGGUCCCUCUUGGAUGGCCACCUGGAAUGGUGAGGCACCGCUCAUCUGCCUCCUGCCUACAAGCAACCUAGACCCCCAAGAGAUGGCUCUUAACAGCAGUGACAGUGAUCACCUUGGUCAAGCACUGGCUAUUCCCCAGGCUUUUCCUACGUCGCUGUCCUUUUCCUUUGUUGGCACUAGCCCUGUCUAGGGGCAGUAGGGGGCUGGAUCUCGCAAGCUGGUGAGGUACAUAUCUGUGUGUCUGCUUCUCAGCCACCUUGGGAUGCUUUCCAGCUAGCGAUGGGAAAGUUCUCACUGCCUCACACCCCACAGUGACUCGGUCGGUUCCGCAGGCUCGGGGGUUGUUCUGUCAUGUGCAACUGCCUAGGUCCAGCCAACACUGCCACCACAAAAAAACGGCUUUAUUUACCCAAAGAAGGUGGAUGGGCAGGAAUGAGGGGGAGGAGAGAACAUGUGCUGGGCAGAUGAAAUUCCAUGGCCACCAUAGUCCAAUCAGAUAGCACCUAUUGCCUUCUGCUGGCAUUUCUGUGAUUGGUGUGGACAGCCUGAACUUGAGUGGAGUGAGAUGUCCUGAGGGUUUGAUCAUUUUUUUCUUUACAUCUGAGCCCAAAUCCCACGCAGUUCAAUGCCUGGCUCACAGUAAGUGAGAAACUCCUAUUUAUGGGAGGAAAGGAAGGACAGAGGGAAGGGUUGUUCCGACUCUUUUGGAAAUGGUCACAUCUGACUGUCUUUUUGUUCUAUCAUCUCUGUCUCAGUUGUGUGUAGGGGAGGGCACUUGCACAUUUAUAUAUGCAUUGAUGGGGGCUUUUUUUUUUGCCCAGUUUUACUGAGAUAUAAUUGACAUAUAACAUUGUAUAAGGUUGAGGUGUACAACACAAUGAUUUGAUAGAUAGAUACAGAUACAGCUAUAGAGAUAGAGAUAUACGAUUACCACAGUAAGUUUAGUUAACAUCUAUCACCUCACAUAGUUACACAUUUUUUUCUUGUAAUGAGAACUUUUAAGAUCUACUCUCUUAAGUACUUUCUGUGUUGAUGUUUAAUUUGUACUCUUUCUAAGGAUCUGAUGACGCGAUUCCCUCCCUGAAUGUGCUGAGUAGUGCCUGUGAGCUUGGGUACAGAGUCCAAGCACCUUAGCUUGCUUUUCAGGGCUCCACACCUUCCAGCUCCAUCUCCUGCCAUGUGCUCUUGGAGACAUGAUCUCUGUCCACGCCAGAUUAUUGGGCAUGACCAGAAGUGGCUUUGUGUGUGCUAGCAUGCCACAGGGCCUUGGCACAGACUGACCCCUCUGUUUGGAAUGCCUUCCUUCCUGCCUCCACACGGUGGACUCACCUUUCAGAGCUCAUCUUGGGGCUCUCAUCUUCUGUGCAGCCUCACUUGACUCCUACCAGGAAGAGUUAGUGGCUGGGUGCUCCUUUCUGGAGCAAGUGGGACCCUCGCUUCUGUUACACUCUACUCUAAUGGUUGCUCACUUGUCUAUCCCCUCAGCAUUUGGCCCUGUGUGGCCUCUCUGCUUCCACAAAACAUACUGCUCACCUUUUCUCACCCAGCCCCACACCUCGAACACAUCAACACUCACUGCUCACUUAUCACAUGGCCUGUCCCUUAGCUCCCAGUGCCAAGUACUUGAUAAGGCUUUCACAAAUAUUAGCUGAUGACCUGGGACCAGGCACCUCAUUCUAGAGAUUUCAGGUUUUGUUUUUGAUUUGAACAUGGAUGUGUAUUUCUUGGUUCAUGUUGGUAACCUUAGCACCUUGAGGGUAGAGCCAAGAUCAAACAAGUGCUGGACCAGGCCCUGUCCCCAGCCCUUGGUUUGGCUUUCCUCAGGGUAUCAUGGAAGACAGCACUAAGGACAGGGUGCUCUUGAUUCCCCCUCUGUUGGGCUGCAUGUAUGGAGGCUGGGUGGUUGGGAAGAAGAAUUGGGGGGGGGACGUGGAAGAACCCCAGGUCUCUAGUUCUCCGGUAGUCUGGAGCAGGGACAGGGUUUCCAGCCCAGAGGACAAGCUCAAAACCAGCUUAUGUCUCCUGCUUCCCAGACCCCUGUAUCCCUAGGGACCGGCACAGGCUCCAUAAAUAUUUGUGGCAUGGCAUUAUGAAUGAAUGAAUACGUGUUCUUUAUUCCCUCUUCUGCAAGUGUUGCAGAGGAGGGAAAGAGCUGGAAAAGGCGGGGGGGGGGGGGUGAGAUUCUCUGAGAAAAUGGGUCAGCAGGCUGCAGGGGGAGCUUGCCCCACUGGCCCCAGCUCCUGCUCAGAGAAGGUGUUGUGUCUUUGGUGGCGGUGAUCUUGGGGAGUGUGUGUGAGCGGAAGUGGGGAGAAGCCCUGGAUGUGAGAAACCCAUUUUUCUCGGCUUUGUUUUAGGCCAGGCAAGUGUAUUCUGCAUGCCACCCACCCGCUCUUGCAAGGUACUUGAUUUAAUCAUUUAAAUGUACUAUGGGGAGAGGGGGGAUAAAACAAAACCCUCUAAAUCUAACCCGUAUUCCCGCAGUCCACAGUGGAACCCUUUCCCUGCCUUCCUCUUCAUAAAUAUCCAGGCAACCUGAGAGGCUGUGGACUCACCCCCUC